AUUGAACGCUGGCGGCAUGCCUUACACAUGCAAGUCGAACGGCAGCACGGGAGCAAUCCUGGUGGCGAGUGGCGAACGGGUGAGUAAUAUAUCGGAACGUGCCCAGUCGUGGGGGAUAACGUAGCGAAAGCUACGCUAAUACCGCAUACGAUCUAUGGAUGAAAGCGGGGGAUCGCAAGACCUCGCGCGAUUGGAGCGGCCGAUAUCAGAUUAGGUAGUUGGGUGAGGUAAAGGCUCACCAAGCCGACGAUCUGUAGCUGGUCUGAGAGGACGACCAGCCACACUGGGACUGAGACACGGCCCAGACUCCUACGGGAGGCAGCAGUGGGGAAUUUUGGACAAUGGGCGCAAGCCUGAUCCAGCAAUGCCGCGUGCAGGAUGAAGGCCUUCGGGUUGUAAACUGCUUUUGUACGGAACGAAACGGUGAGCUCUAAUACAGUUUGCUAAUGACGGUACCGUAAGAAUAAGCACCGGCUAACUACGUG
rnacentral:rRNA from 1 species